GGCAUUCUUUUUUUUCCAGAUAUUCUUGUAUUCUUUUUCUGCAAUUUUGAGACAAUUCAAAUGAAAUAAAGUUUAAUUUUAUUUUGGGGUUUAUCUUUGAGCAAAUGACAUUAUUCUAUGGUAUGAUUAUCUCUCAAACAACGAUCGGUUACCUCUAGCUCAAAAGAGGCUCCCAAAAUAGAAAACGUCGAAAAAUGUGCCUUGCUAUGUGUUAAUCUGAUUCAUUCCUUUAUAUCACUGAUACACUAAUUUCUUCACCUUUGUUGUUUUGUUUUGUCUUGUCUUGUUUCCCCCUCCCAUAGGUUGAUUUGUGCAUCCUGGCCUAUCACACCCGUUCAAAGGGGGAUCCUCCUUCUCCUCCUCCUCUUUCUACAGGUCUCAAAAACAAAGAAGUGAUGGAUAAUGGGGGUGCUAGUUCUGUAGGAGAUAGUGUUGUCCGGCAAAGUAAAAUAAUACUAAAAAUGGAGCAAAGGAUUUUGGAGUUACAAGGGGAGCUAGAGUACGUGUGCAAUCUGGCCAAGCUAUAGCUCAAUCUGAAUACUCCUGAAUUGCAAGCCGAUAGCUAUGUCAUACCAAAGUCCCAAAGUGUGCCUAACCCUCCAAUGCCUCCUCCUCAGCCUCAAAACCCCAUAAAUGUCCAAAGCCUCCCAAAUCCCGUCCCAUACAACCCAAAUAUCCUAACUCCACUAUAUAUGCCUACCCAUUAUAUCUAGAGAGAGAAUGAAUUCAUCAUCCAUGAUACAUUGUUAGUAUAUAUCAAGUGAGUAUUAUAAAAGAUUCAUGGGUAUUUUCUUUAGAAGGAAUGAGUCAUUUCUUCGUGAUACUCUAUUAGUAUAUGAUAUAUAUCAUGUGGACAUUAUAGAGAUUUGAAUUGUAACUUUUUGAAAGAAUGGAUCUCUGAUCUAUGAUACCUUAUCAGACAUGACACGUAGCAGG
rnacentral:lncRNA from 1 species